UUGGCCUACGGGAGGCAGCAGUGGGGAAUAUUGGGCAAUGGGCGCAAGCCUGACCCAGCAACGCCGCGUGAAGGAAGAAGGCUUUCGGGUUGUAAACUUCUUUUGACAGGGAAGAGUAGAAGACGGUACCUGUCGAAUAAGCCACGGCUAACUACGUGCCAGCAGCCGCGGUAAUACGUAGGGGGCAAGCGUUAUCCGGAUUUACUGGGUGUAAAGGGAGCGUAGACGGCAUAGCAAGUCUGAAGUGAAAGCCCGUGGCUCAACCGCGGAACUGCUUUGGAAACUGUUAAGCUGGAGUACUGGAG
rnacentral:rRNA from 1 species